rnacentral:rRNA from 1 species
UACGUAGGGUCCGAGCGUUGUCCGGAGUUACUGGGCGUAAAGCGCGCGCAGGCGGCGGUGCUGGCCCGGCGUGAAAGCCCCCGGCUCAACCGGGGGAGGGUCGUCGGGGACCGCACCGCUUGAGGGCGGUAGGGGCUGGUGGAAUGCCUGGUGUAGUGGUGAAAUGCGUAGAGAUCAGGCGGAACACCCGUGGCGAAGGCGGCCAGCUGGGCCGUCCCUGACGCUGAGGCGCGAAGGCGUGGGGAGCGAACGGG